AGAGCGGUAAGAUGAGUAAAAGGAAGAAUGGCCAAGGACCAGCAGGAGACAGCGAGUGCCAAGUUUCCGAAGCGAAAAGAAGUUUUAGGGAAGAUCCUGAGGGGACAGAAGGCUUAGACGCGACAGGACAGGCUGAAAUCACGGAUUCCAAAGGAGAACCAAAGCCAGCCACGGGAGAGGCAGAGGAACGGGAAGAGAAGGACCAGAGAAGCACCGAAAGCUCGGAAGCAAACUCGCCAGCAAGCUCCAGCGACGACGGAAAGAAGGCUGCCGCGGAG
rnacentral:lncRNA from 1 species